CCUACGGGAGGCAGCAGUGGGGAAUAUUGGACAAUGGGCGGAAGCCUGAUCCAGCAACGCCGCGUGAGGGAUGACGGCCUUCGGGUUGUAAACCUCUUUCAGUGGGGACGAAGUUUUGUCUUUUUGGGCGAAGUGACGGUACCUACAGAAGAAGCACCGGCCAACUACGUGCCAGCAGCCGCGGUAAUACGUAGGGUGCGAGCGUUGUCCGGAAUUAUUGGGCGUAAAGGGCUCGUAGGCGGUUUGUCGCGUCGGGAGUGAAAACCCAGGGCUUAACUCUGGGCUGGCUUUCGAUACGGGCAGACUAGAGGUAUGCAGGGGAGAACGGAAUUCCUGGUGUAGCGGUGAAAUGCGCAGAUAUCAGGAGGAACACCGGUGGCGAAGGCGGUUCUCUGGGCAUUACCUGACGCUGAGGAGCGAAAGUGUGGGGAGCGAACAGGAUUAGAUACCCUGGUAGUCCACACCGUAAACGUUGGGCGCUAGGUGUGGGGCCUAUUCCAUGGGUUCCGUGCCGCAGCUACGACAUAAGUCGCCCGCCGUCGGGAGGUACGGCCGCGACGGACGUAAACGUAACAAAGUAGAAGUUAGUAACGGCGUGAGAGUGCGAACGGACGACGACGAGGGAGGAGG
rnacentral:rRNA from 1 species